rfam:Pteropus alecto contig71698, whole genome shotgun sequence.
GGCUGAACCGACUGUCGCAGCGUGAAUGCUCAGGGCCAGCCGUCCCAAGACACGGUGCGGGCGGCGUCGCCAGGGUGGCAGCG